rnacentral:rRNA from 1 species
AAAUGAAUUGACGGGGACCCGCACAAGCAGCGGAGCAUGUGGUUUAAUUCGAAGCAACGCGAAGAACCUUACCAAAACUUGACAUCCCUCUGACCGAUCCUUAAUCGGAUCUUCUCUUCGGAGCAGAGGUGACAGGUGGUGCAUGGUUGUCGUCAGCUCGUGUCGUGAGAUGUUGGGUUAAGUCCCGCAACGAGCGCAACCCCUAUUUUUAGUUGCCAGCAUUAAGGAUGGGCACUCUAAAGAGACUGCCGGGGAUAACUCGGAGGAAGGUGGGGAUGACGUCAAAUCAUCAUGCCCCUUAUGUUUUGGGCUACACACGUGCUACAAUGGCUGGUACAGAGAGCAGCGAGAGAGUGAUCUGGAGCAAAUCUUUAAAGCCAGUCUCAGUUCGGAUUGUAGGCUGCAACUCGCCUACAUGAAGUCGGAGUUGCUAGUAAUCGCAAAUCAGAAUGUUGCGGUGAAUGCGUUCCCGGGUCUUGUACACACCGCCCGU